rnacentral:rRNA from 1 species
CCUACGGGAGGCAGCAGUGGGGGAUAUUGCACAAUGGGGGGAACCCUGAUGCAGCGACGCCGCGUGGGUGAAGAAGCGCCUCGGCGCGUAAAGCCCUGUCAGCAGGGAAGAAAAUGACGGUACCUGAAGAAGAAGCCCCGGCUAACUACGUGCCAGCAGUCGCGGUAAUACGUAGGGGGCAAGCGUUAUCCGGAUUUACUGGGUGGAAAGGGGGCGCAGACGGCGAUGCAAGCCAGGAGUGAAAGCCCGGGGCCCAACCCCGGGACUGCUCUUGGAACUGCGUGGCUGGAGUGCAGGAGGGGCAGGCGGAAGUCCUGGUGUAGCGGUGAAAUGCGUAGAUAUCAGGAGGAACACCGGUGGCGAAGGCGGCCUGCUGGACUGCAACUGACGUUGAGGCCCGAAAGCGUGGGGAGCAAACAGGAUUAGAUACCCUGGUAGUC